rnacentral:rRNA from 1 species
CCGGCGCACGGGUGAGUAACACGUAAUGCAACCUGCCUGCCACAGCCGGAUAAUCGGGAGAAAUUCCGUCUAAUACGGCAUAAUGCAUCGACGGGACAUCCUGUUGGUGCCAAAGGUUAAUUCCGGUGGCGGAUGGGCAUGCGUCGCAUUAGUUAGUUGGCGGUGUAACGGACCACCAAGACGACGAUGCGUAGGGGUUCUGAGAGGAAGGUCCCCCACACUGGUACUGAGACACGGACCAGACUCCUACGGGAGGCAGCAG